rnacentral:rRNA from 1 species
GACGAACGCUGGCGGCGUGCUUAACACAUGCAAGUCGAACGGAAAGGCCCUGCUUUUGUGGGGUGCUCGAGUGGCGAACGGGUGAGUAACACGUGAGUAACCUGCCCUUGACUUUGGGAUAACUUCAGGAAACUGGGGCUAAUACCGGAUAGGAGCUCCUGCUGCAUGGUGGGGGUUGGAAAGUUUCGGCGGUUGGGGAUGGACUCGCGGCUUAUCAGCGUGUUGGUGGGGUAGUGGCUUACCAAGGCUUUGACGGGUAGCCGGCCUGAGAGGGUGACCGGCCACAUUGGGGCUGAGAUACGGCCCAGACUCCUACGGGAGGCAGCAGUGGGGAAUAUUGCACAAUGGGCGGAAGCCUGAUGCAGCAACGCCGCGUGCGGGAUGACGGCCUUCGGGUUGUAAACCGCUUUCGCCUGUGACGAAGCGUGAGUGACGGUAAUGGGUAAAGAAGCACCGGCUAACUACGUG